GACGAACGCUGGCGGCGUGCCUAAUGCAUGCAAGUAGAACGCUGAAGGAGGAGCUUGCUUCUCUGGAUGAGUUGCGAACGGGUGAGUAACGCGUAGGUAACCUGCCUGGUAGCGGGGGAUAACUAUUGGAAACGAUAGCUAAUACCGCAUAAUAGUAGAUGUUGCAUGACAUUUGCUUAAAAGGUGCAAUUGCAUCACCACCAGAUGGACCUGCGUUGUAUUAGCUAGUUGGUGGGGUAACGGCUCACCAAGGCGACGAUACAUAGCCGACCUGAGAGGGUGAUCGGCCACACUGGGACUGAGACACGGCCCAGACUCCUACGGGAGGCAGCAGUAGGGAAUCUUCGGCAAUGGACGGAAGUCUGACCGAGCAACGCCGCGUGAGUGAAGAAGGUUUUCGGAUCGUAAAGCUCUGUUGUAAGAGAAGAACGAGUGUGAGAGUGGAAAGUUCACACUGUGACGGUAGCUUACCAGAAAGGGACGGCUAACUACGUG
rnacentral:rRNA from 1 species